CCCGCCCGGCGCAUGAACCUUCGGGCGCGCUGUGGCCCCUCUCCGAGCAGUGGCGGCCUCCACCGCCCUCCCCGCCGCGACAGGCUUUAUAGGGAGGAGGAGGCCCCCGCGGCAGGUAAACACCGGGCCUUGCGCAACAGCUCACCUGGUUCUCCAGCUUCCCAGCUCGGGUCUGGGGGAGGAGGGCGGGGGACGCGCGCGCCGGGGUCCUCGGGGCGAGCAGGUGCUCGGGAGGGGGCGCUCUGGGGGCAAGGCCACACCAUGGGGGCGGGGGUCGCCUCCUUGUCACCCCUCCGGCGCCCCAAUCUCAUAUCCGCCCCGGGCCUGUGCUGAGCCGGUGGGCAGAGCGCCCGGGCUCGCUUUCGGCGUGUGCGCCCACAUCGCCGGGGUGUGAGUCACUCCAGGCGGCCGGCACACCCACUUCCCCGGAGUUGGAGGCGGGAGCGAGGAUCCAGGCCUUGGUCUGGUGUGUGCUGUCACUGCUGGUGAGUCUUUCCUUUCCUCCCUGCUUGCUGCCUUACCUAUUAAGGGCUUAAGAACCCUCUGAAGCUGUGGGGUAAGGGAGGGGGGAGCAGGCGCCCCCGCUCAGGUCUCCGGGAGUCAGUUCUACAUCUGGCUGGGCCUCCCCUACUUCUACUCUCUCCCCACCUGUCUCUAGUUCUUUCUCUCAGUUUUUCCCGGUGUGGGUUUUUAUUUCCACUUUUCACCCUUCUUUGGGGUGUACCUAGGGUUCAUCUAUUUCAAGUCUCUUGGUAAACAGUGGCCCAGAGAGCUGGCCUUGCCAAGGUCACAAAGGCCGGGAAUAAGCAGAAGCGGGGCCGUAGCCAGCCCUGAUCUGUGCCCUAGCUGUGACGCCCCGCUGCCUCUGUUUCAUUUGAGAUCCCCAAAACCUCCCCUCUGCUUUCCAAAAUCUUCCCUCUGAUCUUUCCUCUCCCUCCCCUCUCAUCCAUCUCCUGGCUCUUCCCUCCUCUCCUCUCUUCCCACGCCCUCCACCUGCUAGUUCCUCUGCCGCUCUCACGGGAGGCCUGUCUGUCUGCCUGCCCUGCAGGGUUUGUGGGGAAGUAAACAUCUGUCCACGAGUGUGCUCGCACACACUGUUGUACAGACCUGUCUGCUCACCCAUCACGUCCAAAUUCCCCACGGACAGAGGCGUUCACAUAAUGCAGAGGCCACAGAUGUACGCAGUCUCAGACACACUGAAUACCACUGGGUUGGACAGCGAGGGUUUCUCAGGGACACAGAGACGUACUCAAAGAAAACACGCAAAGAGACGCUGUCAUUAGUUUUAUUGUCAAUAAGAACAAUGCGGCAGCCGUAGGUCUUUGGGGAGCAGCAGCUCAACCACAAACAUAAUAAAGAUCAGGCAGCCCUUGAGGCACCCUUCUCCCCACCUCUGCUCCACGCUUACCAGGGAGACACUCAAAUUGGACACCGUGAUAAACCCUCACAAAUAAACACAUGUGUAUUUAUCUUGGAACAAAGCUCUCAGCUCAGUGCUCAUAAGACCUACAGCUACAGAUAUGACCCAAACCUGUUUUGUAAAACGGGCUUUCGUGCUGUGGAAGAUGGAGUCACAGUCCCCCAAGAUGUCCACAUCUUAAUUCCUGGAACCUGUAAAUCUGUUACCUUCCAGGGCAAAGGGGAAUUAAGUUUGCAGAUGGACUUAGGGUUGCUGAUCACUGGGUUCGAAACAGGGAGAUUUCUCUAGAUUAUCCACAGGGGUUCAAGGUCCACAACAUCCUUAAAGGUGGAGGACAGAAGCAGGAGAGAACAACCAGCGAGAGACGUGUGAGAAGCACUCAGCCUAACACUGUUGACUUUGAACACUGAGGAAAGGGCUGCGUGCAGAGGAAGCGGACGGCCCCUCGGAGCCGGAAAAGGAAGGCAAUGGACUCCAGGAGGCCUCCAGUCCUGAGGAUGGCUUGAUUUUCACCCAGUAGGACCCACUUUCGACUUCUGAACUGCAGGACUGUGAGACUCCGCUGUUUACAAUGUGCAGCCGUCCCAAGAAUUGCUGCACAUACUCUGGGGAGACAGCCCUGAUGGGAAGGGGGCUCGAGGCAGACAGAGGAUGAAGUUUCCAGCAGAUCAGCCUGAUACUCAUGGACAUGACCCCGGUUGCAAGGCCGGCACCCUCCCAGCCCGCGCUCUGUAGCUCUGUAGCAGCUCUGAGCUGAGAGGAUGACUCAAAUUCCUGGGGUUGAGGAUUUGCUUUCAGAAUCAAGCUCAGUCAGUGCGGUGGACGGAGUGUAGAAGCCAGAAACGGAAAGCUUUCCCACGGCCCUGUGGUCCACAGUCUCCCAGCGGACCGUUUACAGAUGCAAAAACAGAAGCCCAGAGACUUAAGUCAUUUGUUCAAGAUCUUAAAGCAAGUGCAACUGGCAGAACCCAGAUCUAACCCUCCAGGAAGAGGAGGAGGAGAACAAGGUUUUCCUCGGGGCUCAAAUGAGUAGCUGUGGGAGUCAUUUGGGAGGCUUUGAUACCAGGCAGGAUGACAAAGAAAGCAUUCUGGCCAAGAGGACCGACUGCCUGCAGAGUUUCUGCCCUGGGAGAAUGGGAGACGUCUGCAGAGCAAAAAUCCUGCCCAGGCUGCAGCCAAGGCAGCUGGCCUCCCUGCUCACGGCCUCCCCUGUCCCCUGUCCCCUCCCAUGGCUGUGGUGGUGCUAACCAAGACGGCUGAAUGCAGAGGGUCUGGGUUGGGGGUCAGACACUUUGCAGAUUCACUUGAGACUUGCUCUACUGGAAAGGUAUUUUACCUUGAAAGGAACUCCUCACGGACACGCACACACCCCAGCCGCCCCGUAUUCAUCCUUUCCCUCCUCCCCACUGAGGAGGAACAGAGGAGCCCCGCCUGACAAGUCCCAACAAAGCCUGGAUCCUACAGCCCUGUUGAGGAGGAAGCUCUCCUGUGCCCUUGAAGGUCCUCUGGCUGGACUGAGUCAAACUGACCCGAGACAGAUUAACGGGAGAAAACGAAAUUCAAUCGUGUGCAAUGGGCUUCCACACAGACAUUCAAAUUCCAACGACGAUGAAGCAACAUGGAGCUUCUGUGAGCUAAGUUGGGGGUCAGGGUCUGAGGAUACAAGGCGGGGAAGGACCUCACAGGAAGGUGGUAGAUAUUUGGAAAACCAAAGUUUGCCUUCUCAAGCAGAUAAGUUUCUGAGAUAAAGGGAAGUCUCAAGCUCUCCUUUCCCAUGUAAAUUUAGGCAGGUGAUGACAGGAAGAGAGUUUUUCCUGCAUUUUGCUGUGUUUUGAUGACUUUUAACUCAAGAUAACGUUCGUGCCUCAGCAGCCCACUUAGUGGCGGCCUGCCCUUGGCCCCUGCACUGGAGAGAUGCUGGCCAGUUGCCUGUGCUGUGUGUUCUGUCUUGCCGCUAGGAAAAAUAAGCCCAGCUUGUUUAACUACGGGUGUGUUUCUGGAGGUCUUUGGCGAGAGGACACUGGUAACGUCCUGGGUUCUGUUCUUCAUUCUUGCCCUCUGGGAUCCACGUUGAGGGUCUGGACCUAGGCCAUGUGGGCGAAGAUGGCCAGAAGUGCUGUCACAAGGGACAGAACCAGUUAUGCAUUCACUCAACAAGUAUUUAUGGGCCACCCACACACACCACAGACGGUUCCAGGUGCCAAGGACAAGAGGCAAAUGAAGUGGGAGUCCUGAUUUUGGGGGAACCUCUCAGAUGGUUGUGAUUCAUGGAGAUAGUGGGGUGAUUGAGGUAAGGCCUGGGGGCUGCUACAUGCUCACGAGGAGGUGCCCCUGAGCCAGUCCAGUCAACAACCCUAGCGGGAUGUCAGGAAAGGCUUUCUGGGGACAAUCUUGUGAGAAGGGACAAGAGCUGGUCAAGGAGACAGCACACAGCAUGGGGAGUGGGCACUGUCACAUACAGUCGAUCUUUUUUGUUUUGUUUUGUUUUUAAAAUUAUUUUAUUUAUUUUUUUAGAGAGACAGAAAGAGUGAGUAGGGCAGGGGCAGAGGGGUGGGUGGAGAAAGAAUCCCAAGCAGACUCCACACUGUUAGUGUGAAACCUGGUGUGGGGCUUGAACUCACAAUCCAUGAGAUCAUGACCUGAGCCAAAACCAAGAGUCGGACGCUUAACCGACUGAGCCACCCAGGCACCCAACAGUCAAUCUUACUUGAGUGAAAUCUAGGAGGCCAGUUGAGGGGGGAGGUCCAAAAUCAAAUGCACAAGACAAGGCACAGACGGAAAAGACCGACUUUCAU